rnacentral:rRNA from 1 species
GGAUUAGAUACCCGGGUAGUCCACGCCGUAAACGAUGAAUGCUAGGUGUUCGGGGUUUCAAUACCCUGGGUGCCGAAGUUAACACAUUAAGCAUUCCGCCUGGGGAGUACGGUCGCAAGACUGAAACUCAAAGGAAUUGACGGGGACCCGCACAAGCAGUGGAGUAUGUGGUUUAAUUCGAAGCAACGCGAAGAACCUUACCAGGUCUUGACAUCCCUCUGAACAGCCUAGAGAUAGGUUGGGCCUUCGGGACAGAGGAGACAGGUGGUGCAUGGUUGUCGUCAGCUCGUGUCGUGAGAUGUUGGGUUAAGUCCCGCAACGAGCGCAACCCUUAGGACUAGUUGCCAGCACGUCAAGGUGGGCUCUCUAGUACGACUGCCGGUGACAAACCGGA